GACGAACCGUCCAAACGUUAUUCGGAAUUACUGGGCUUAAAGGGUGCGUAGGCGGCGCGGAAAGUUGGAUGUGAAAUCCCUCGGCUUAACCGGGGAACUGCGUCCGAUACUGGAUGGCUUGAGUUUGGGAGAGGGAUGCGGAAUUCCAGGUGUAGCGGUGAAAUGCGUAGAUAUCUGGAGGAACACCGGUGGCGAAGGCGGCAUCCUGGACCAACACUGACGCUGAUGAGCGAAAGCCAGGGGAGCAAACGGG
rnacentral:rRNA from 1 species